GAGGGGCAGCGGGGGUAAUAGCAAUAUUACUUGUCGGCGACCGGCGCACGGGUGCGUAACGCGUAUGCAACCUACCAUCAACAGGGGGAUAACACUGAGAAAUUGGUACUAAUACCCCAUAAUAUCUCAUGCGGCAUCGCAUGGGGUUGAAAACUCCGGUGGUUGAUGAUGGGCAUGCGUUGUAUUAGCUGGUUGGUGAGGUAACGGCUCACCAAGGCGACGAUACAUAGGGGGACUGAGAGGUUAACCCCCCACAUUGGUACUGAGACACGGACCAAACUCCUACGGGAGGCAGCAGUGAGGAAUAUUGGUCAAUGGACGCAAGUCUGAACCAGCCAUGCCGCGUGCAGGAUGACGGCUCUAUGAGUUGUAAACUGCUUUUGUACGAGGGUAAACCCCGAUACGUGUAUCGGGUUGAAAGUAUCGUACGAAUAAGGAUCGGCUAACUCCGUGCCAGCAGCCGCGGUAAUACGGAGGAUCCGAGCGUUAUCCGGAUUUAUUGGGUUUAAAGGGUGCGUAGGCGGUUUGAUAAGUUAGAGGUGAAAUGUCGGGGCUCAACCCCGAAACUGCCUCUAAUACUGUUGGACUAGAGAAUGGUUGCGGUAGGCGGAAUGUAUGGUGUAGCGGUGAAAUGCUUAGAGAUCAUACAGAACACCGAUUGCGAAGGCAGCUUACCAAACUAUAUCUGACGUUGAGGCACGAAAGCGUGGGUAGCAAACAGGAUUAGAUACCCUGGUAGUCCACGCAGUAAACGAUGAUAACUCGUUGUCGGCGAUACACAGUCGGUGACUAAGCGAAAGCGAUAAGUUAUCCACCUGGGGAGUACGUUCGCAAGAAUGAAACUCAAAGGAAUUGACGGGGGCCCGCACAAGCGGAGGAACAUGUGGUUUAAUUCGAUGAUACGCGAGGAACCUUACCCGGGCUGGAAAGUUAGCGACGACGCUUGAAAGAGCGUUUCCCUUCGGGGCGCGAAACUAGGUGCUGCAUGGUUGUCGUCAGCUCGUGCCGUGAGGUGUCGGGUUAAGUCCCAUAACGAGCGCAACCCCUACUGUUAGUUGCCAUCAGGUGAUGCUGGGCACUCUAGCGGGACUGCCGGUGUAAGCCGAGAGGAAGGUGGGGAUGACGUCAAAUCAGCACGGCCCUUACGUCCGGGGCCACACACGUGUUACAAUGGUAGGUACAGAGGGCAGCUACCCUGCGAAGGGGUGCGAAUCUCGAAAGCCUAUCUCAGUUCGGAUUGGAGGCUGAAACCCGCCUCCAUGAAGUUGGAUUCGCUAGUAAUCGCGCAUCAGCCAUGGCGCGGUGAAUACGUUCCCGGGC
rnacentral:rRNA from 1 species